rnacentral:rRNA from 1 species
UACGUAGGCAGCGAGCGUUGUUCGGAAUUACUGGGCGUAAAGAGUGUGUAGGCGGUGUUCCCAGUCUGUUGUGAAAUCUCCCGGCUUAACUGGGAGGGUGCAGCGGAAACUAGAAUGCUAGAGGGUGGGAGAGGUAAGCGGAAUUCCUGGUGUAGCGGUGAACUGCGUAGAUAUCAGGAGGAACACCUGUGGUGUAGACAGCUUACUGGACCACUUCUGACGCUGAGACACGAAAGCGUGGGUAGCAAACAGG